rnacentral:rRNA from 1 species
GUAAUCCAGGUCAGUUUCUAUCUAUGAAGUGCCCCCUCCUAGUACGAAAGGACCGGAGAGGGGAGGCCUAUGCCCCCGGCACGCCUCACCCUUACUUGAUGAAAACAACUAAAACAAGCGAGAGAGCACUCUCUCAAGGCCCAAGAUAAGGGCAU